rnacentral:rRNA from 1 species
UGCGUAGGCGGACUAAUAAGUCAGUGGUGAAAUCUCUCGGCUCAACCGAGAAACUGCCAUUGAUACUGUUAGUCUUGAGUUCGGUUGAGGUAGGCGGAAUGUGUAAUGUAGCGGUGAAAUGCUUAGAUAUUACACAGAACACCAAUUGCGUAGGCAGCUUACUAGACCGACACUGACGCUGAGGCACGAAAGCGUGGGUAGCGAACAGGAUUAGAUACCCUGGUAGUCC